CUCUGUAGGCCCAGUUGCUGGUUGCUAUGGCUCUGACCGCUCUAGUAGCGGUCUCUGCUUAAAUUCUACAACAUUGUACCGUGCAUAGAUCUAGAAAAGUCUUGUGUUGUCUGAAUGACGGCGUUGACGCUCUUGUCUAUCUCUGGUAGCUUGUAUGAAAAUGCAUUCUCUGGAGUUUAACUAGGGGUGUCUAUUAGCUGUCUGCCAAA
rnacentral:rRNA from 1 species